UUAUAGUUCAUGCUAGUUCAAACGCAAAAUCAUACUUUUUAAACAUUAUAAAUUACUGUUACUCUUCUGGUUGGGUUCCUGAUCAAUGGAAAAUUCAAAUCAUUAUUCCUCUUCUGAAACCCGGCAAAAAUGUUGAUGAUCCGAAUGGCCUUAGACCAAUUGCAUUGUCCUCGGUCUUGGUCAAAUUAUUUGAACAUCUGAUUAAAAAUAGACUUGAGUGGUUGGUCGAAUCUAGAGACUUACUGCCGAGCCAUCAAUUUGGCUUUAGGAAGGGUCUUGGCACAAUGGACAGCGUGGCAACAUUAGUUACUGAUGUUCGUACAGCCUUUUCCAAAAAUGAAUCGGUUGUAGCCGCCUUCCUAGAUAUUUCCUCCGCAUAUGACAGUGUCCUUCUUCCCAUUCUCAGGCAGAAACUGCAAGAGCUGAGUCUCCCGGUCAAGAUGAUACAAGCCAUAUGCGGACUUCUUAUGUCGCGGUCGUUGGUGCUGAGGGUGCAGGGUGAGUUACAGCCGAUCCUGCGCACUUCUCCCUUCAAGGGUAUGACCUGCUGAACCUUCCAAAAGCGCAUCUUGAGACUGCAUGGCAAGAGUAUUGGAACGUUUCCAGCAGUAAAAAGGUGCCGUCCUACUAACGCAACAAGUUCUACAAUAAGUGCAAAGUUUUCUCCUUUCAGUUUUUAAAAUUGUUAUCGUACCUACUUGCUUCUCAUAUCACUUGUCAGUGGCAGAAUCGUCGACAUCAACAUCGACGGCAGAGAUUGCCAGAAACAAAAAUAGAAUAGA